UGCACCUAUGCCUCCAGAUUCGUGUCUCAUCCGCACACACUCUCUUUUUUCUUCAGCGAGGAACACUGAGGCACUCAUUUCGGGAUUGAUGUGGCCAGCAUCCGCUUUUCUACUUGUAAACAGCGUUUAGACGGCUAAUUGAAUAAGCUAUCAACUCUCAUGUGAGUUAUUAUCAGCUGUGCUGAAUGGGUCGCUCCACUCUGCCCGGGCUGUCCAAUGGCAGGGAGGAACAGUGAUGGGAGCCCCCUAUUGGCUCCCUAUGUGAUCGAUCCGGAGUUGAUUGAUCGGCUUUAGGCCACAUUCGCGGGCAGGCGAAAAACAAAACAUCUUCUCUGGAGAGAAAACACAUUUUACGCUUCUGUCGGCUUCUACAGUGUGCGUGUGAGUGAGUGUGUGUUUUUUGUUUCCACGAAACCACAAAAAAACUGACCAAGACAUCUCACCCACUCUCGUUGGGUUCCUGUCCCAUGCAUGCACACGCGCAUAAGCACACAUACACUCAUUUUCACAGCUUUUAGUUUAUGAACUCGCUUCAAAAUUUGCCCAGUGUUUGACAAAGUUUCUCUAAAUCAGUCAGAACUCAGUUGAGAACUUUUUGUUGUUCACAGUCAGCCAGAUGAAACUUUUAGUCUUUUUUAUGAUCCGUUUAGUUAUCGCCUCUGUUUGCUCUGUAAAGAUCGUAAAAAGUUUGGAGAAAUAUUAAUGAGCUUUAGUAAAUGAUGGGGAACUUUAAUUCAUGAGAAUUCCAAGAAAAGUAAUAUUUCUCUUUAUUUUACUGAUUAAAUAGUUACGGCUCUUUGUCGUUAGAUAUGAUUCUUAUAAAGAUACAACAAUCUAGUUUAAUUUUGUUUAUCUUUUUACCAUUUAAGAAUAAAGUUUAACUACAUCUGCAUGAAUAUUUAUGCGAUAUAAAAAUGUAGUAAAACAUUAUGAGAUUUUCAGGAUAUCCAUAAAUACCCCAAAAUGUUUAGUUGUUUUCCUCAUGAUCACUCAGCAAGCUUCAUUUAUCCCUCAGUCCCGUUACACGUGAUUAGAGAGUGUGUAAAAGUGCCUUAUUAUCUUUAUGCUCAUAAGGUGUUGCUGGUCGGCAACAACCUGUUUGAAGUUUUUUUUUUCUCUCUCCCGUGCUGCGCGUCCAGCCAUCGAUCAUAUGCCCCCGGUGCCACAGACGGUGUCAUAACUUGAUAAUGUGGUUUCACACAUUCGUCGGUGAUUCCUGAGGUACUAAAUCCCGAGCGGUGGGAUCCGAUGGGACAUUUUUACAGGCAUGAAAUGACUGUUAAAGGCUCCCGCAGUCCGACCGGCGAUGCUCCGUCACGCGGACUGCAGAGAAGCCACGAGGCACGGACUUUUACGCACAGAAAUAGAGGAUCACAAAAUAAACAGGACUGACUUAUCGUACAGUUUGUUAUUUUUGUAGUUUAUUGGUAAGUAAGAAACUCUCAUUUUCUAAUUAUUUGAAUUAUUAUUUUAUUAUUAUAGCGAUGUCAAUGAUUAAAAUGCACAGGAAUUAAUUAAACAUGUUUUCUUUAAGGAAAGUUAUUGGAAAUGAAAGAGGAAGCUGCUGUUUGAAUCUGCUUGCCAACAUUUUUUGGUUUACUGAAACCCAGUAAGGAUGAUGGAGCCCACAAGAACAAGAUAAACUAAAUUUUAGGAAGUAAUUGAGAAGAAAUAAACCUGCAUUAACAUGAAAGGAGUUUACAUCAACGCUCGCUCCGCUGUAAGGUAACUACUAUGGCAUUAUAAAGCAAUUAAGCUCCUUCAAUUAGCAUCCAUAAAAGCAAAGUGGAGCACCACUUUCUCUCCUGUAGCAGCUCUUUCGUAAGGGGUCAGCGCAUUUUGGUAUCCUGAAAGAGACCAUGGGGGCAAAUACCGUCAUUUCUUCUUAAUCCGCUUUGUGAUGACGGUAAUACUCUGAGUCGUUUCAAUAAAAUCAUUCAUAUUACUUUCAAACGGCUGAAUGUAAAUUGACAGCGUGUUUGCCCAAGUAAGAGAAAGCGUUAUUAGCCGCCCAUUGCAUCUUGACUUGUAUUGUGUAGACACCGAGGCAUGUUGCAGCAUUUAGAUCAGUUUGUUCAAGACAACAAUUGUCACUAUCAAAAUACUAAACAUAAAUGGGAAGAAUGUUCACUAGGUUGCAUGUUAUAUUAAAUCCCCACUGAAUUUACAUAAGUUCUCAUUUUAGAAGAAAUUAUGCUAGUUUUAUUAGCAGGAUUUUUUAUUUUUUUUUUUUUUUUUAAGCUGUGAACCAGGUCAGAUAUUUGAGAACUGCCGGACUUUAUGUGAUCGCUUGUAUCUCUGUUUAGGGAACAACUGGCAGACUGAGAAGUCAAACUGAGGUCAAACUUUUUGCAGUCCCGCAGAUCUGCGCCCAAACAUGUUGAGAUCUGCAAAGAAGGCCACUGGGUCUCUCUGGUUUGUGUCACUAAUGCAGCACACAUGCAGACCUGCUGCAACGUUUUCACAGUUUAUCAAAUUAUAUGAAACUACUAAUAUGUUAUCGCCUGUCAAGACCUCCAGUCGGAUUCAUCAGGGUGUAUUUAAGUCCCAUGCGCUCUCAGCUUUGGG